AGCGAACGCUGGCGGCAGGCUUAACACAUGCAAGUCGAACGGGCGUAGCAAUACGUCAGUGGCAGACGGGUGAGUAACGCGUGGGAACAUACCUCUUGGUUCGGAACAACACAGGGAAACUUGUGCUAAUACCGGAUAAGCCCUUACGGGGAAAGAUUUAUCGCCGAGAGAUUGGCCCGCGUCUGAUUAGCUAGUUGGUAGGGUAAUGGCCUACCAAGGCGACGAUCAGUAGCUGGUCUGAGAGGAUGAUCAGCCACAUUGGGACUGAGACACGGCCCAAACUCCUACGGGAGGCAGCAGUGGGGAAUAUUGGACAAUGGGCGCAAGCCUGAUCCAGCCAUGCCGCGUGAGUGAUGAAGGCCCUAGGGUUGUAAAGCUCUUUUGUACGGGAAGAUAAUGACGGUACCGUAAGAAUAAGCCCCGGCUAACUUCGU
rnacentral:rRNA from 1 species